rnacentral:snRNA from 1 species
UUUUUAAUCUAGAAAGCAAAAGU